CAAUAGCGUAUAUUUAAGUUGUUGCAGUUAGAAAGCUCGUAGUUGGAUUUCGGUUGAGAGCGACCGGUCCGCCGUUUGGUGUGCACUGGUUGGUUUUAACUUCCUGUAGAGGACGUGCUCUGGGUUUAACGACCUGGACUCGGAGUCUACGUGGUUACUUUGAAAAAAUUAGAGUGUUCAAAGCGGGCUUACGCUUGAAUAUUUCAGCAUGGAAUAACACUAUAGGACUCCUGUCCUAUUUCGUUGGUCUCGGGACGGGAGUAAUGAUUAAGAGGAACAGUUGGGGGCAUUCGUAUUUCAUUGUCAGAGGUGAAAUUCUUGGAUUUAUGAAAGACGAACUUCUGCGAAAGCAUUUGCCAAGGAUGUUUUCAUUAA
rnacentral:rRNA from 1 species